rnacentral:rRNA from 1 species
CUACGGGUUGCACCAGUAGGGAAUAUUGGACAAUGGGCGAAAGCCUGAUCCAGCAACACCGCGUGCACGAUGACGGCCUUCGGGUUGUAAAGUGCUUUUAGAGGAGAUGAGAAAGGACAGUAUCCUCUGAAUAAGCCUCGGCGAACUACGUGCCAGCAGCCGCGGUAAAACGUAGGAGGCAAGCGUUAUCCGGAUUUAUUGGGCGUAAAGCGCGUGCAGGCGGUCUAGCAAGUUGGAUGUGAAAGCUCCCGGCUCAACUGGGAGAGGUCGUUAAAUACUGUUAGACUAGAGAAUAGGAGAGGGAGGUGGAAUUCCGGGUGUAGUGGUGAAAUGCGUAGAUAUCCGGAGGAACACCAGUGGCGAAAGCGGCCUCCUGGACUAUUUCUGACGCUAAGACGCGAAAGCUAGGGUAGCAAACGGGAUUAGAUACCCCUGUAGUC